ensembl:lncRNA
CAGCACUCAGUUUUCCAACGAUUUGGAUAAGUUCUAAGAUUUUACAGAUGAAUCCAAGCAGAGCUGAGAUCGCAUCUGAACAAAUAAAACAAAAACUUUAACAAACAAGAGAACAUCCCCCUUAAACAUGUCAGGACUGAUCUGUAAGUUCAAACUCCCCACACCGUGUCAGUGUGGACUCGCUGCGGGGGUAUAUAACUCCCCGCAGAUCCUCGUCUUCUGCAGAAGAAUCUGAACACGUCAGCGGGAACAGACGAACCUUCGCCAUCAUGUCCAGGAUCACAGGGAUCACGCUGCUGCUCAUCGUUCUGGUCAGCAGCUUGUGUGACAGCACAGCGAGGACAGAGUCUGUUGCUCAGUCUGGUGUGACCAACCUGGAUAUUCUCAGAUGCAGAUGCACCCAGUCUUCCAGAGGCAAGCUUAGGUGUCCCCAACCACUCAUGCCCACAGACAGCAAAGAGAAACAGGCUCUGAAAAAAUGCCUCUGCAGCGCAGGAAAACAAAACAAGCGUCCAGAGCUUCUGCGAUUCUGCCACAUAAGUGUGUUUGGGGGGUCUGCUACACCGUUCUGAUAUAAAUCAGUGGAAUCAUAAAUGAACUUGACAUGAAAUCCUAUUUUGUAUGAUAGUAUUCUUGUUUUAUGUUUGUGAAUUUUCUGCUGCUGUAAAUAAAAACAGAUCUUUAUCAGA